rnacentral:rRNA from 1 species
UACGGAGGAUCCAAGCGUUAUCCGGAAUCAUUGGGUUUAAAGGGUCCGUAGGCGGUUUAGUAAGUCAGUGGUGAAAGCCCAUCGCUCAACGGUGGAACGGCCAUUGAUACUGCUGAACUUGAAUUAUUAGGAAGUAACUAGAAUAUGUAGUGUAGCGGUGAAAUGCUUAGAUAUUACAUGGAAUACCAAUUGCGAAGGCAGGUUACUACUAAUGGAUUGACGCUGAUGGACGAAAGCGUGGGAGCAAACAGG